AGCGGCGCACGGGUGAGUAACACGUGGAUUAUCUACCCUCUGAUGGGGAAUAACCUUGGGAAACUGAGGCUAAUACCGCAUAAGUUCGAGAGAAGAAAGCCGAAAGGCGUCAGGGGAGGAGUCCGCGGCCGAUUAGCUAGUUGGUGGGGUAAGAGCCCACCAAGGCGACGAUCGGUAGCCGGCCUGAGAGGGCACACGGCCACACUGGCACUGAAACACGGGCCAGACUCCUACGGGAGGCAGCAGUGGGGAAUCUUGCACAAUGGGGGAAACCCUGAUGCAGCGACGCCGCGUGAGUGAUGAAGCCCUUCGGGGUGUAAAGCUCUUUCGGCAGGGACGAUAAUGACGGUACCUGCAGAAGAAGCUGCGGCUAACUACGUGCCAGCAGCCGCGGUAAUAC
rnacentral:rRNA from 1 species